rnacentral:lncRNA from 1 species
UUUUUGCUGUUUACAUACAGUAUCUUUUAUAAUAUUUUGUGUUACUUUAUCUUACUUGAUACACUUACACCUCACACUAUUGUAACUUGCAAGGAAGUUUAUAUUUCAUUUAGACGUUAAACUCUGCGUUUCACUAACUUCAUCACCUAAUAAUACGGAUAAAACAGGCAUAGUUGCUCAGAAUGCUGAUACAGAAGUUUUGUGGAUGUUUUUAAAACUGCUUUAAAUAUAAAUGUGUAAUGCUUCAUUUCUAAGUCAUGAAGAAGAGUUAAAAUUCAAUAUCCUAUUUUUAUACAUUUAAAUUUAUAUGUAGGGUUUACAGAACUUGAGUACUUCCAAAAACAUAAUUAAUGUUGAACUUUACUGCACUAUUUUAAAGGUUCAUAUACAAUGAAGUUAUAAAUAAUAGAUGUGCACCCCAACACCCUCUCUGCCUUCAGCAAAAGAUGAUAAAAGGAACACGUUUACUUCCAUUGAUUUUUUUCUUUGAUAGAUAUACUGUCAGGAAAGAUUAAAUUUCACUUCAAAAUUAUUCAGUCUUCCUUGGUGUGUAUUUUUAAGUCAUGCCAAAAUUAUAAUUAAAAGUGAUUUUUUAAUAAGUGAGGAAUCUAAACUUUGCUGUAAAAUAAUGAUUACUUUUGCAGAAGACAAUUUACAAUAGACUGAAAUAUAAUACAAGGCAAAAUUAUUUCAGGUUUGGAAAGGGCACUAAAACAUCCAACAUGUGUUCUAUGAGGACAUAAGACUUUAAAAGUUAUUUUGUAAUGAUGGAGAAGUUAGGUGUGAGGAAGUUAAGCAAUGAGAAAAUGUAUGAGGAGUCCUCACAUAUUUGUGAAAAGCACUGCCCUUCAAUAUUCAGUCUGUAGGCUCAGCACUUUGCUACCUGGUGGCAACAGUUGAACCCCAGUAGGGUCAUUGUGGAACAAUGUUUUGUCUCACAAUCUCAGUUUCUCCCUACAAUCCUCUUUUCUCCUUUGCUUCUAGUCACACAGUAGAUAUUCUGUUUGCAUGUAUUUGAUUUAUGGAUUUACUACUGAACUGAGUCUCUAGCUAAUACUGUCUUGGUUGCAUACAUGCAUAAAAGGGAGAUGACAUAAACCAGAGAAC